AGUGAACGCUGGCGGUAGGCCUAACACAUGCGAGUCGAACGGCAGCACAGUAAGACCUUGCUCUUACGUGUGGCGAGUGGCGGACGGGUGAGGUAUACAUCGGAAUCUACUUUUUCGUGGGGGAUAACGUAGGGAAACUUACGCUAAUACCGCAUACGACCUACGGGUGAAAGCAGGAGAUCUUCGGACCUUGCGCUCUUGUAUGAGCCGAUGUCGGUUUAUAUAGUUGGCGGGGUAAAGGCCCACCAAGGCGACGAUCCGUCUGUGGUCUGAGAGGAUGAUAGGCGAAACGGGAACUAAGAAAGGGUCAAGAAUCCAAGGGGAGGAAGAAGUGGGAAAUAUUGGAAAAUGGGGGAAAGCCUGAUCAAGCCAUACCGCGUGGGUGAAGAAGGCCUUCGGGUUGUAAAGCCCUUUUGUUGGGAAAGAAAAGGAGCAGGUUAAAACCCCGCUGAUCUGACGGUACCCAAAGAAUAAGAACCGGCUAACUUCGU
rnacentral:rRNA from 1 species